rnacentral:lncRNA from 1 species
GGGGACUCGGCGGGACUCCAGCUACUGCAGUGGCUCCGCGGGCUCCCACCUCCGGGCCGCACCGGCGCCGCCAGAGGCCGGGACACCUGCAGCCCGCGGAGUGCGGUCUGGCCGCGCCUCUGUGCCCGGGCACAGCUGUGGGGACACUGGGUGCGGAAAACCGGGCGCCAGGACGUGGGAGAGCCGCGGACCUGCCUUUAAAGGCGCGUGCCUCGCUCUGGAGUUUGCGGAGCGAUCGGAGACGGGGAGGCUGAGGAGGAAACUCUUCCCCCGCGCCAUUUGCCCCGAGAUGUGGCGGCGCUCCUGGCCCCGCGGUCACGGCCACCCUCAACUGGCCAGGCCGCGGAGGCCGGUGACUGGCUGCUGGGUGCAAUCCCUAGGGAGGUCUCAGGGCUGCGGAUGGGCCUGGGUCUCGGCCGCCACGGGGGUCGAUCGGGCUACUGUGUGGACAGGGUGGCCAAGGAGGCAGCAGGUGUGCGGUCAACAGCCUGGCCAGAAUUCUGCUGUAGCUGGAUGGGGUGUGUGAGCGCGCGGGUGUACAUGUGCCUGGGUGUGCGCGGGUGUACAUCCACACCUGACUGCGUGUGCGCGAGUACACGCUGUGAGCCCAUAGUGUGUCUGGAAUUGGUGGGUUCUUGGUCUCACUGACUUCAAGAAUGAAGCCGCAUACCCUCGCGGUGAGUGGGUACAGCUCUUAAGGUGGUGCGUCUGGAGUUUGUUACUUCUGAUGUUCAGAUGUGUUCGGAGUUUCUUCCUUCUGGUGGGUUCGUGGUCUCGCUGGCUCAGGAUUGAAGCUGCAGACCUAGGCGGCCAGCCUGGGCUUGUUUUCCCGGUAGUACUGGGUUCUGAGAGAGAGUAACUGCAUGGAAGGCCUUGAAGACUGGGCUUGGGCCUGCUGUACCCACAUGACUGCUUCUGCCACGUUCUACUGGCCAAGCUCUAUGGGCAGCUCAGACACAAGGGAAGAGACUCUGCUGCUUCCUGGGAGAAGCUGCAAGACCACAUUGCGAAGGAACAUGUUGUUGCUGCUCCCAUGUUACCUUCGUCAGUGACCUGAGAUGCAGACUGGAUCUAGGGAAUGGUGUUUCCUGUGUGAUGCCUUCCAGGAGUAUCUGCACCACGGGCAGUGCCAGGCCGAGGACAGAGGGCCUAAUGGAGGACACUCUACAACUCCAUCCUGCUGCUGGGGGGGCUUGGGGGCGCCUCCACGAGGGUCUUCAGAGGAAAGGCAUGUGUGUGGUCUGUGGCCUGCCAGCAGGAGAGCUGGGGGAGGCCGGCAUCUUGAGGCUGUUGGCAGCAAGUGCAGGCAGAGGCCUCGGGCCAGAGGGGAGGUGGCAGGGCUCAGGUGCCCUGUGCUUCCUCGGAGAAGGCACUUGGGAUGAAGGCUUAGUCCUGCCUGGUAAACCUGGAGGCCUGUGAACACUGGGGUUAGCCCCAACAAGGGAGGAGGUUCCCGCUGCCUCACUAAGAACAGCCUGCUGCUACACUCACCCUGACAGCUGCUCCGCUCCCAGUGAACCCCACCCCGAGAAGGCUCAUCGGGGCCACGGACCUCCCUCAGCGCUGCAUUCAGAAUCCCUCAGGAGUUGUAAACUUCCUGAUUUCUGGACCCAUCACCAGAGCCCAACGUCACGGGUAAGGGUUAGGGCCUGGAUGUCAGGAUUCAAUUUGGAGAAUUCCCCGGGGCAAUUCCACCAUUGCAGACACUGAAACGGAGCUGGGGCAGAAGAAUCACACCAGGUGGCUCGAGCUGAGCGGCUGGGAGUGUGGCAGUGAAGACACUGAGUGUCCGUCAGGGAAGAUGGCUCUGGGUACAACAGCGUGCCCAGCCCCUUAGAUAUUCUCUGCACGGAAGUGGCCCCACCCUGAAGCGCGUGUGCAGUGACUGUUCAUGCUUCUGUGUGUGUGCAGGAGUAGUUUGGUUGGAGUGUGCAUAUGCGAAUGUGUGUGUAUGGAAGUCUAUCUAUCUGUAAUGUAAAGCAGUUGCGUAAUGCAAAUGUGUGUGUAUGGACAUCUAUCUGUAAUGCAAAGCAGUUGCGUAAUGCAAAUGUGUGUGUAUGGAUGUCUAUCUAUCUGUAAUGUAAAGUUCCCAAGUAUUGUGUAUAUCAUUGUUUGAGUUUUUAAAUUCUAAGAUAAUUUCUAGAGAAAAAGAUGUACGGGUGAUUCCUGGUGAAAAGCAGGGACCGUGGGCCUCAUAUUGAGACACAUUUCACGCUGUUUAGAUUGUAAUGGCAAUUAUGUAUGACUUUUGUACGUUUUUUAAAAAGCCAAUAAAAUA